AAAUAAAUCAGCCAAAUCGGUGUCCAAAAAUACCGAUUUCCGAUUGUUACGAAAAUUUGAAAUAGGCCCUAAUUAAAAUCGGCCAUUCGGAUUAAUCGGUCGACCUCUAGCAAGAAUGUAUACUAAUCUGUUUUUGCUUUGUCAUUAUGAGGUAUUGUGUGUUCCAAUAUGGAAGUGUUUCUUGAUUCAUCAGAGAUCCUUGUAUUUUUGUGUAUUUUGUAGUAGACAAUACAUUUAGCCUAUUCCUGUUCCCCCUCAACACGCAACCUAACGUUACACCCCUCAACUGCCUUUGUCAAUUCUUGAUUCUCUGUUUUUGCAGGAAUCUUCUAGGUUGGAUGGAAGAAGGAACCAAGGGCAGGACUACAGAAGUUAUCCAGCCUGCUGACUAAGACAUUUCCUGAAAUAUGUCAAUGAUCUGAUGCAUGGCCUAUCAGCGGUGCUUGGCCAGAGGAUCUCAGUUACCAGUGAGCUAUUCUGCCACAUCCCAGGGAAAGGAGAGAGCAGAACCAUCCCUGCUUAAUGUCAUAGUCAUUCACAGUAAGUUGUGUAUGCAAAAUGUUGUUGUUUCUUCUGUUUGAUACUCUGAUCUUCAAUGUGUAUUAAUUCCUACUAACCAGUUUUGUAAGAGCUAGGUUUGCACUAGCUAUGCUGAUGAUCAGUGUUUUUUCCCCUGCAACAGGUCUCACAGACUGGAUUCCCCAAGAGACAUGUCAUUCAGCUCCCCAUUGCCUGAUCUUACCACCCUUUUUUUCUAAGAGUGUAUUAUAGAACCUAAAAGGGUUCAUCAGAUGUCCCCAUAGGAAAACCCUUUGAAUAACCCUUUUGUUUCCAGGUAGAACUCUUUUGGGUUCCAUGUAAAAUCUUUUCCGCAGAGGGUUCUAUUUGAAACCAAAAAGGGUUCUACCUGGAACCAAAAAGGGUUAUCCUAUGGGGACAGCCAGUUUAAGUAGUUUAAGUAGAUCCAAUUGAAAUAGCACUGAUCUAAUAAUAUACGUUUGUAAAGCAAAUAAACUCCUGUUUUAACUCGCCUUUCUUUAACGUGCGAAACCCUUGUGUCCUGAUUCAACAGACACCUCCCUUGGUGAGUCAUGCUCUUUUUUUGUCUCUUUAUCAUGCUCUUUUAGAUUAUGGAGUGGUGCGUUUGUCCGAGACAAUGUCCUCAGGAUUAUGGAGUAGUGUGUUUGUCUGGGACAGUGUCCUCAGGAUUAUGGAGUGGUGCGUUUGUCCGAGACAAUGUCCUCAGGAUUAUGGAGUUGUGUGUUUGUCCGGGACAAUGUCCUCAGGAUUAUGGAGUGGUGUGUUUGUCCGAGACAAUGUCCUCAGGAUUAUGGAGUUGUGUGUUUGUCCGGGACAAUGUCCUCAGGAUUAUGGAGUUGUGUGUUUGUCCGGGACAAUGUCCUCAGGAUUAUGGAGUUGUGUGUUUGUCCGGGACAAUGUCCUCAGGAUUAUGGAGUGGUGCGUUUGUCCGGGACAAUGUCCUCAGGAUUAUGGAGUUGUGUGUUUGUCCGGGACAAUGUCCUCAGGAUUAUGGAGUGGUGCGUUUGUCCGGGACAGUGUCCUCAGGAUUAUGGAGUAGUGUGUUUGUCCGGGACAGUGUCCUCAGGAUUAUGGAGUGGUGCGUUUGUCCGGGACAGUGUCCUCAGGAUUAUGGAGUGGAGUGUUUGUCCGGGACAAUGUCCUCAGGAUUAUGGAGUGGAGUGUUUGUCCGGGACAAUGUCCUCAGGAUUAUGGAGUGGAGUGUUUGUCCGGGACAAUGUCCUCAGGAUUAUGGAGUGGAGUGUUUGUCCGGGACAAUGUCCUCAGGAUUAUGGAGUGGAGUGUUUCUAAAAAUCUGUUUGACUAUUACAACAUUUAUUAGAAGUUUAAGCAAAACUUUAACAUUUAGAGAUGAGUUUUAUAAAAAAGUAAUUAUCAAACUACUGUCUAAUUUUGAUAUCCUCUUUUUUUUUUUUUUUUUUUUAUGUUUCAGACUGAUGACCAAUGAAUUAUGUCCCACUUCAAUAUGAAGGAACAGAGCCUUUGAUACCGCUCAUGAGUGCUCCAUUGUAGUUGGACCACUAGGCUCCAGAUCUGACCCAUCACACCACUCUUCAAGAGGACCACUAGGCUCCAGAUCUGACCCAUCACACCACUCUUCAAGAGGACCACCAGGCUCCAGAUCUGACCCAUCACACCACUCUUCAAGAGGACCACUAGGCUCUAGAUCUGACCCAUCACACCACUCUUCAAGAGGACCACUAGGCUCUAGAUCUGACCCAUCACACCACUCUUCAAGAGGACCACUAGGCUCCAGAUCUAACCCAUCACACCACUCUUCAAGAGGACCACUAUGCUCCUGAUCUGACCCAUCACACCACUCUUCAAGAUGACCACUAGGCUCCAGAUCUGACCCAUCACACCACUCUUCAAGAGGACCACUAGGCUCUAGAUCUGACCCAUCACACCACUCUUCAAGAGGACCACUAGGCUCCAGAUCUGACCCAUCACACCACUCUUCAAGAGGACCACCAGGCUCCAGAUCUGACCCAUCACACCACUCUUCAAGAGGACCACUAGGCUCUAGAUCUGACCCAUCACACCACUCUUCAAGAGGACCACUAGGCUCUAGAUCUGACCCAUCACACCACUCUUCAAGAGGACCACUAGGCUCCAGAUCUAACCCAUCACACCACUCUUCAAGAGGACCACUAUGCUCCUGAUCUGACCCAUCACACCACUCUUCAAGAUGACCACUAGGCUCCAGAUCUGACCCAUCACACCACUCUUCAAGAGGACCACUAGGCUCUAGAUCUGACCCAUCACACCACUCUUCAAGAGGACCACUAGGCUCCAGAUCUGACCCAUCACACCACUCUUCAACAGGAAAACUAGGCUCCAGAUCACCUUCUGUGCUCAAAGGUCCUUGAUGAGGAUCCACCCCCCAUCACACCACUCUUAUUAAUCAUUAAUAAAUAUAGAACAUUUGAACUUUAUAUACUCUGUGUCCCAGUAUUUCUAUGCAUGUAAUGUGUGUGGUUGAAUUAUGAAACAUUACUGUAUGCAGAUGUCCAAAAUGUUUGAUGUAGAUUUGCUUCUGCCACUGCUUGAUCUAUUUUAAAUGUAAGAAUACGUUGCAGAUUUAAACUUGAAUUGGUUACUAUAGAAAGAAAUAGAAAUGUAAUGAACAAUAUUUUCAAUAUCAAACUUUAUACUCUGCAAUACUUAAUACAGUAGGUAAUACGCUGUAGUCAGGUAGUCAUUACCAGGUUAUGAUGAGGUCUUAACUAUGACCAGUAGGCUACACAAUAUAUCACAUAAUAUACAGGUCACAAUUAUGACGCAAUUGGUAAUAUGGUGGUCAGAAAAAUACGUCAUUCUGGUCAGUAAAAAGUCGGGGGGUAAAAACAGUUCGCGACCAGAAUAAGACGUCAUACGGAUGUCUUUUCAACCUGGUUUUGCCCACUGGUAAUGUUGUCCAACAUGUCCAUUAUCUGGAAAAACU